rnacentral:lncRNA from 1 species
AUGAGAGCCGGCCACUGGAGGCCAUACUGGAGGUCCAAGUCCACGACGUGGACGCUCUUGUGGCCCUCGAGCGCUUCCAGGAUGGCCUGGUUGGCGGUGAAGUGCGCGAACUUGAGGUACGGACACGUCUCGUAGAAGUGGAAAUGUAGGAUCUCAUCCAUGGCGCCGUUGUUGGUGUUUCCAGGAUCGCUGCUCUCUUCUUUGAAUUGCUGCUGGCGCUGCUGCUGCUGCUGAGACUGGUGGUGAUGAUACUGGCGAUCUCCGCCACCACCAACACCGCCGCCACCAUUGUAGCAGCUGUUUUG